UGCCAGCCGCCGCGGUAAUACGGAGGGUGCAAGCGUUAAUCGGAAUUACUGGGCGUAAAGCGCGCGUAGGCGGUUACUUAAGUCGGAUGUGAAAGCCCCGGGCCCAACCCUGGAAUUGCAUUCGAUACUGCAUGGCUAGAGUAUGGUAGAGGGAAGUGGAAUUUCCGGUGUAGCGGUGAAAUGCGUAGAUAUCGGAAGGAACACCAGUGGCGAAGGCGACUUCCUGGGCCAAUACUGACGCUGAGGUGCGAAAGCGUGGGGAGCAAACAGGAUUAGAUA
rnacentral:rRNA from 1 species